CCUACGGGUGGCAGCAGUGGGGGAUAUUGCACAAUGGGGGGAACCCUGAUGCAGCGACGCCGCGUGGGUGAAGGAGUGCUUCGGCAUGUAAAGCCCUAUCGGCAGGGAAGAGGCAAGACGGUAACUGACUAAGAAGCCCCGGCUAACGACGGUCCAGCAGCCGCGGGAAUACGGAGGGGGCGAGCGUUAUCCGGAGUCAAUGGGUGGAAAGGGGGCGUAGACGGCAAAGCAAGGCAGGGGUGAAAGCCCGGGGCCCAACCCCGGGACUGCCCUUGGAACUGCAUUGCUGGAGUGCGGGAGGGGCAGGCGGAAUUCCUGGUGUAGCGGUGAAAUGCGUAGAUAUCAGGAGGAACACCGGCGGCGAAGGCGGACUGCUGGACCGCGACUGACGUUGAGGCGCGAAAGCGUGGGGAGCGAACAGGAUUAGAUACCCUUGUAGUC
rnacentral:rRNA from 1 species